CGAAAUAUAGCUUAAUUAAAGCCCCUCGCUUACACCAAGGAGAAUGUCUGUUAAAUCAGCCUAUUUCGAG
rnacentral:tRNA from 1 species